UACGUAGGCAGCAAGCGUUGUUCGGAGUUACUGGGCGUAAAGGGUGUGUAGGCGGUUGGAUAAGUGUGGUGUGAAAUCUCCCGGCUCAACUGGGAGGGUGCGCUACAAACUGUCUGACUAGAGUGUGGGAUGGGUAAGUGGAAUUCCUGGUGUAGCGGUGAAAUGCGUAGAUAUCAGGAGGAACAUCGAUGGCGAAGGCAGCCCCUUGGACCUGUACUGACGCUCAUGCACGAAAGCGUGGGGAGCAAACAGG
rnacentral:rRNA from 1 species